AGGGCGGUUAGCUCAGCGGUAGAGCACUGUGUUGACAUCGCAGGGGUCACAAGUUCAAUCCUUGUACCGCCCA
rnacentral:tRNA from 1 species